GUUUUUAUGGUGUAAGUAAACACAUUACACUUUCAUUGUAAGACUGAAACUUUUAUUUCUAAAAACU
rnacentral:tRNA from 1 species